GGUGCUUUCCUUGGAAGCAGUCGGCCGAGGGGAAGAGCUCGCAGGGCUCAGCGUGGAAGAGGAGUCCGGGCUGUCAGAAGCACAGCAGCACUUCGGAAUGUCCCGAGAGGAGAGGCCCUGUGGCUCCCGUGGAUGCCCUGCAGACCCCACCCCGAUGGGCUGCUGGAGGCCCAGGGUCACCCAGAAAUUUCCAUGGAAACGCUAUCUAUUCCAUUGAUGACAAUGCAUGGGAAGCAUACCGCUGGACUGAGAAACUAAAUCUUCAUUGCAAUCUACUCACAGAAGUGAGCUUCAGAACAUUUCAGGCGUGGCACAGGUUUCAGUUUUUAAAUGAGCUGUAAGAGAAAUAGAAGAUACAAAUGUAAAAAACUACUUAUGUAUAAAAACACCAUACAGUUCUUGGUUAGCUUGGUAUAAGCCAUUAUGAAUGCUGAAAAGUAUAUCUUAACAGCUGAUCUGCCCCCCAAUCAGCACAGGACCACUCAGAGGAGACUGGUCGGGAAUGCAGAAUUGCAUGGGGUGCAGUUUGAUGAAAAAACUAAGGCCCAGAUCAGAGAUUCUACAGAACACAGAUCCACCAGGUCUCUGGAGAGCGGGAAGUACCAAUAAGAUCAACCAUUAAACCCUGAGCUGCACAAAAAGCUUUCCCUAGGGAAACAGCAGCAAAGUAGCAAUUUAAACAACCACACAGCUCAAGUUCCCCCGUGUUAGAAGCAAAGGACAAAAAUUUAGUUCUGGGCCUGGCACACCACCAGCACCAUGGAGCCUGCCUGGGAACUGGAGGCUUGGAUCUGGGGACCGGAUCCCACUCCCACUUCCAGGCAAACUGCACCAGUGUGUUGGGGCCAGCCUGGGGAACUGAAGCAUGGAGAAGAGGACUGGACCACACUCCCACAACCAGACACACCACACCAGCACCUUGGGGCCUGCCCGGGGACCUGAGGUAUGGAGAAGGGGACUGGACCUCUCUGCCACAACCAGGCACACCACGCCAGCACCUUGGGUCUCGCCCAGGGACCCAGGGCAUGGAGAAGGGGACCGGACCACCCUCCAACAAGUAACACUGAGCCAGCACCUUGGGGCUUACCCAGGGACUCAGGGUAUGGAGUCGGGGACCAGACCACUCUCCCACAACCAGGCACAACAUGCUAGCAUCUUGGAGCCCACCCAGGAACCUGGGGCAUGGUGAUGGGGACUGGACCUCUCUCCCACAACCAGGCACAACAUGCCAGCAACUCAAAGCUCACCCAGGGAACUGGGGCAAGGAGAAGGGGAAUGAUCCUCUCUCCCACAACCAGGCACACAGAGCGAGCGCUUCAGGGCCCACCCGGGGACCUGAGGCAUGGAGAAGGGGACUGGACCUCUCUCCCACAACCAGGCACACCACGCCAGCACCUUGGGUCUCGCCCAGGGACCCAGGGUACAGAGUCGGGGACCGGACCACUCUCCCACAAUCAGGCACACUGAGCCAGCACCUUGGGGCCCACCCAGGGACUCAGGGUACAGAGUCGGGGACCGGACCACUCUCCCACAAUCAGGCACAACAUGCCAGCAACUUGGAGCCCACCCAGGGAACCGUGGCAAGGAGAAGGGGAAUGGUCCUCUCUCCCACAACCAGGCACACUGCACCAGUGCUUCAGGGCCUGCCCAGGGACCUGAGGCAUGGAGAAGGGGACUGGACCUCUCUCCCACAUCCAGGCACACCAAGCCAGCACCUCAGGGCCUGCCCACGGUCCCAGGGCAUGGAGAAGGGGACUGGACCACCCUCCCACAACCAGGCACACUGAGCCAGCACCUUGGGCCCUGCCCAGGGACCCAGGGUAUGGAGAAGGGGACCGGACUCCCCUCCCACAACGAGGCACACCACGCCAGCACCUUGGGGCCUGCCCGGGGACCUGAGGCAAGGAGAAGGGGAACAGACCUCUCCCACAACCAGGCACACUGAGCCAGCACUUCAUGGCCCACCUGGGGAACCGAGGCAUGGAGAAGGGGACUGGACCUCUCUCCCACAAUCAGGCACAUUGAACCAGUGCCUUGGGACGCACCCAGGGACCAAGGGUAUGGAUUUGGGGACUGGACCUCUCUCCCACAACAUGCCAGCAACUCAAAGCUCACCCAGGGAACUGGGGCAAGGAGAAUGGGAAUGGUCCUCUCUCCCACAAUCAGGCACACCAUGCCAGUGCUUCAGGGCCCGCCCAGGGACCUGAGGCAUGGAGUAGGGAACUGGACCUUUCUCCCACAACCAGGCACACCACGCCAGCACCUUGGGGCCUGCCUCUGACUCAAGGCAAGGAGAAGGGGAAUGGACCUCUCUCCCACAACCACGCACAUAGAGUCAGUGCUUCAGGGCCCACCGGGGACCUGAGGCACGGAAAAGGGGACUGGACCUCUCUGCCACAACCAGGCACACCACGCCAGCACCUUGGGUCUCGCCCAGGGACCCAGGGCAUGGAGAAGGGGCCCGGACCACCCUCCCACAACAAGGAACACUGAGACAGCACCUUGGAGCCCACCCAGGGACUCAGGGUAUGGAGUUGGGGACUGGACCUCCCUCCCACAACCAGGCACACCAUGCCAGCACCUUGGGGCCUGCCCGGAGACUCAAGGCAAAGAGAAGGGGAAUGGACCUCUCUCCGACAACCAGGCACACCAAGCCAGUGCCUCAGGGCCUGCUCACGGUCCCGGGGAAUGGAGAAGGGGACUGGACCACCCUCCCACAACCAGGGACUCAGGGCAUGGAGAAGGGGACCGGACCUCUCUGCCACAACCAGGCACACCACGCCAGCACCUUGGGUCUCACCCAGGGACCCAGGGCAUGGAGAAGGGGCCCGGACCACCCUCCCACAACAAGGAACACUGAGCCAGCACCUUGGAGCCCACCCAGGGACUCAGGGUAUGGAGUCAGGGACUGGACCUCCCUCCCACAACCAGGCACACCACGCCAGCACCUUGGGGCCUGCCCGGAAACUCAAGGCAAAGAGAAGGGGAAUGGACCUCUCUCCCACAACCAGGCACACCAAGCGAGUGCCUCAGGGCCUGCUCACGGUCCCGGGGCAUGGAGAAGGGGACUGGACCACCCUCCCACAACCAGGCACACUGAGCCAGCACCUUGGGCCCUGCCCAGGGACCCAGGGUAUGGAGAAGGGGACCGGACUCCCCUCCCACAACGAGGCACACCAUGCCAGCACCUUGGGGCCUGCCCGGGGACCUGAGGCAAGGAGAAGGGGAACAGACCUCUCCCACAACCAGGCACACUGAGCCAGCACUUCAUGGCCCACCUGGGGAACCGAGGCAUGGAGAAGGGGACUGGACCUCUCUCCCACAAUCAGGCACAUUGAACCAGUGCCUUGGGACGCACCCAGGGACCAAGGGUAUGGAUUUGGGGACUGGACCUCUCUCCCACAACAUGCCAGCAACUCAAAGUUCACCCAGGGAACUGGGGCAAGGAGAAUGGGAAUGGUCCUCUCUCCCACAAUCAGGCACACCAUGCCAGUGCUUCAGGGCCCGCCCAGGGACCUGAGGCAUGGAGUAGGGAACUGGACCUUUCUCCCACAACCAGGCACACCACGCCAGCACCUUGGGGCCUGCCUCUGACUCAAGGCAAGGAGAAGGGGAAUGGACCUCUCUCCCACAACCACGCACAUAGAGUCAGUGCUUCAGGGCCCACCGGGGACCUGAGGCACGGAAAAGGGGACUGGACCUCUCUGCCACAACCAGGCACACCACGCCAGCACCUUGGGUCUCGCCCAGGGACCCAGGGCAUGGAGAAGGGGCCCGGACCACCCUCCCACAACAAGGAACACUGAGACAGCACCUUGGAGCCCACCCAGGGACUCAGGGUAUGGAGUUGGGGACUGGACCUCCCUCCCACAACCAGGCACACCAUGCCAGCACCUUGGGGCCUGCCCGGAGACUCAAGGCAAAGAGAAGGGGAAUGGACCUCUCUCCGACAACCAGGCACACCAAGCCAGUGCCUCAGGGCCUGCUCACGGUCCCGGGGAAUGGAGAAGGGGACUGGACCACCCUCCCACAACCAGGGACUCAGGGCAUGGAGAAGGGGACCGGACCUCUCUGCCACAACCAGGCACACCACGCCAGCACCUUGGGUCUCACCCAGGGACCCAGGGCAUGGAGAAGGGGCCCGGACCACCCUCCCACAACAAGGAACACUGAGCCAGCACCUUGGAGCCCACCCAGGGACUCAGGGUAUGGAGUCAGGGACUGGACCUCCCUCCCACAACCAGGCACACCACGCCAGCACCUUGGGGCCUGCCCGGAAACUCAAGGCAAAGAGAAGGGGAAUGGACCUCUCUCCCACAACCAGGCACACCAAGCGAGUGCCUCAGGGCCUGCUCACGGUCCCGGGGCAUGGAGAAGGGGACUGGACCACCCUCCCACAACCAGGCACACUGAGCCAGCACCUUGGGCCCCACCCAGGGACUCAGGGCAUGCAGAAGGGGACUGGACCACCCUCCCACAACCAGGCACACUGAGCCAGCACCCUGGGCCCCACCCAGGGACUCAGGGCAUGGAGAAGGGGACCGGACCACCCUUCCACAACCAGGAACACUGAGCCAGUGCCUUGGGGCCCACCCAGGGACCCGGAGUAUGGAGUCGGGGACCAGACCACCCUCCCAGAACCAGGCACAACAUGCCAGCAUCUUGGAGCCCACCCAGGGACCCGGGGCAUGGUGAUGGGGACCGGACUUCCCUCCCACAACCAGGCACAACAUGCCAGCACCUCGGAGCCCACCCAGGGACCUGAGGCAAGGAGAAGGGGAAUGGACCUCUCUCCCAUAACCAGGCACAUGGCGCCUGUACCUCGGGGCCCACCCAGGGACCCGGGACAUGGAGAAGGGGACUGGACCCCUCUCCCACAACUAGGCACAUGGUGCCAGUGCCUUGGGCUCUGCCCAGGGACUAGAGGCAUGGAGAAGGGGACCAAACACGCCCCACAACCAGGCAAACCGCCAGUGCCAAGGAACAUGCCAAAAACAGCACCCCCACAUGGGUGGCCCACCACAGCCACCACAAUAACCAUGGCUGCUGCAAAAGCGGCUAGACGCCUCAGCCACCAUGCAGAUGGUCCGCCAACCACUGGAGUGCAUUCACACAAGAAGAGUCACCAGCAGAGACAAAGAAAAGAAGAGGAUGUCUCUUUCCACAAAACCCAUUUCAGAGUGACAGAAGAAGCAUCUGCUCUAUGAUAAUAUUGGGGGACCUGAUCACAUCUCUCAGCAUUGGACAGAUCAUUUAGGCAACAAAUCAACAGAGUAACCAUUAUUCUUUCAGGAGAGAAGAAA